AUGUUCCCUUCUGGUAAAGACCAUGGAACAGGACGUUUCCAAAGGCAUGGUGAGGAUCUGUACCUCUUGAAAAAGGAAAGAGAGACAACACAGCAAAGGAUACUCUACAGUGAUUUGAGUCCAUGCAAAACUCCUGUAGUGCUGCAAGAAGCCAGAGAAAAGUUCUGGGAGAAAACAUCACAGAAGGGCACAGGGAAAUCAUCUUCACAGAAGAUAUUUAAGAUCUACCUUGUGCUAGAGUACAUUCCUCAGGGACCAUGGAUUGUGGAUGUCACUUGAGAAAUAUUUACAUCUGCAGUGAAGCUACAGUGGAAGCAGAAAUGCUGUGGUUCCACUACAGUAACGCUUUUUCAAGAAAAGCUGCAUUUAAAUGUCUUUCUUUAGAUGAACUUUGGAAGACCAGUACUCAUAUUAUAGAAUGGUGCUAAAACCAAAUUUUGCUAACUCAUUUUGAACUCUCUCUAGGAUGGGACAGGCUCACAAAGGAAAAUGAAUCAUUAAAGGUUUACCUCAUCUGGAGAAUAAUCUUCACAUAUCUGUAGAGAUCGGACGGAUCCUGAUGUGAUCUUGAAAUCUGAGUUAAUGUGGUCUCUUCAGGGAAUAUAGAUAGGUGUCAUUUGUGUAGACAGCACUCAAAAUAGUUGGGAUUUAAUAUUUAACACUAGCUGAUUGUACUAAAUGUGCUGUGAAAGUAAUCUUUAUGUUGGCCAAAUGCAGAACCAUUUGAGCAACAUCUCUCUCCUCAAAUAACAGACCAUGCCCCCCCAGCAGACCAAAACAAGCCAAACAAAGAAGAGCAGGGGGACAGGAAAGUGGUUUUUUUUUUUUUUUUUUUUUUUUUUUGGUGCUGCUCAACCCUGCCUAUCAGGAAGAUUCAUUUGCAAAACACAUUGUCCAGCUGACUGCUUCUUCUCUUUCUCCUCAUGAUUUGUGGGAAAAGGAGACAGCUCAUCUUUGACCUCACCUGUAUGUCCUCACCUUCCUGAGGAAGGUAACUUGAAGGUAACUUGAAGGUAACUUGAAGCUCGCCAUGGCUGAGGAAGUCUUUGAAUGAGAACAAUUUAUUUCAUUUGCAAAACAAAGGAAAUCCAUCCAGAGCUUAACUCAAUCCUGCUCAAAGAGAACAAAUCCUACAAAAACCUCUAUGGUUGAAAAAAUGCUGUGAUGGCUGCCAAGUCAGACACUAAGAAGUUACUAAAUAUUAAAAUGGAGUCUUCCUUAAUAUAAUUCUUGCAUGCAUGUAAUUGGGAUUUAACUUUCAAAUGAAUAAACACUAAUUGAGAAUGCA
rnacentral:lncRNA from 1 species